UGAGUUGAUCGGAUGGUCGCUAGCUUUUAGCUAGAGGAAAGUCCGGACUUCAUAGAGUAAAGUGCCAGGUAAUUCCUGGGAGGCGUGAGCCUACGGCAAGUGCAACAGAAAGAAUACCGCCAAGAAAUUGGUAAGGGUGAAAUGGUGGGGUAAGAGCCUACCGCGAGAUUGGUAACAACCUUGGCAAUGUAAACCCCACUUGAAGCAAAACCAAAUAGGGACCCAUUUAGGCUACUCGUCUAGGGUCCGGGUAGGUUGCUCGAGCAAUAUGGCGACAUAUUGCCUAGAUAGAUGGCCAUUUAAGACAGAAUCCGGCUUAUAGAUCAACUCACUCA
rnacentral:RNase_P_RNA from 3 species